rnacentral:rRNA from 1 species
GGUGAACGCUGGCGGCGUGCCUAACACAUGCAAGUCGAGCGGUGCAGUUUGAAAGCUUCGGUGGAAAGCUGCAUAGCGGCGGACGGGUGAGGAAAACGUAGGAACGUGCCCCUUGGAGUUGGAUAGCCACGGGAAACUGUGGGUAAACCGACAUAGACUCGAGAGAGUAAAGGCCGAAAGGCGCCAAGGGAGCGGCCUGCGGCCCAUCAGGUAGUUGGUAGUGUAAAGGACUACCAAGCCGACGACGGGUAGCCGGUCUGAGAGGAUGGCCGGCCACAAGGGCACUGAGAGACGGGCCCUACUCCUACGGGAGGCAGCAGUGGGGGAUUUUGGACAAUGGGCGAAAGCCUGAUCCAGCGACGCCGCGUGGAGGACGAAGCCCUUCGGGGUGUAAACUCCUUUUCUCAGGGAAAAAGGGAUGAUGGUACCUGAGGAAUAAGCCCCGGCUAACUACGUG